rnacentral:lncRNA from 1 species
CUUAGAAAUUGCUUUUAUGUGUUAUGAGUGGUUAUAGGAAGAAGUGAUAUUCUUUAAGAAUUUAGUUUAGAAAAUAAGCUUUGUGAUAUUCAAUAUAAUUCUUUUUAUUAACCCUAAAGAAUUUAGUUCUUCCUUGGUGUUACUUCAGUGUCUUAAUAAUUAACACUACUUUUAGUUAGAUUCUAAGAGAGAUUUGGCAGGGAACUUUAUUCUUUUCCAACUGCCUCAUUGGUUUUACAAGAUAGUAAACUUGUAGACAAUAUAAUUUUGGCUGUCAGUAAAAAUGAGGAAAGUGAUUACUGUGUGUGAUACAGUAGAGUAGGAUUUAAGUCAUAAUGCCUGAUCUAAGUUUUAAAAAAUGUGCUGCAGGUUUUAGUCAGCAGUUGGGGGUAGUUUGUGAUAUUGGUGAAAGCAGCUUCUGACACAGCUCACCAAAGUGAAUGCUGUCUUGUUCAGAAGAUAUUUUGUUUGUUUGUUUUAAUUCAGACUUGAACUCAGCACUUGGCCUACAAUUAUUCAGAUAUCACUGGACCCAAUUUAAGACUUAAAAAUAUCCUUGUGCAUUAAAUUUCAGAGAAAAGAGACCAACUUACAGAUUCUCUCAUGAUGGGAACUUUUUAAAAAAUAUUCUUUUAGAUGUUAAUGGAGCUUUAUAUUAUUCAUUUAUUUAUAAGUGCUGCUGAGAAUUGAACCCAGUGUCUCACACAUGCUAGACAAGAGCUCUACCACUGAGCCCAAACCCCAGCCCCAUGAGCAGAAAUUUUGUAGCUCUAAAAUGACCAAAAGUAGUCCACUGCUCAGAAGGGGCAGUCCUGCACCAGAGGCUUGGCUCUAGCAAAAACUGGAAAUCCAUAUGCAACAAAAUGAGAUUAAACCCCUAUCUCUCACCAUGCACAAAACUCAACUCAAAAUGGAUCAAGGACUUAGGAAUACAACUAAAGACCCUGCAUCUAAUAGAAGAAAAAGUAGGCCCUAAUCUCCAUUAGGUGGGAUUAGGCCCCAAGUUUCUUAGUAAGAUUCCUGUGGCAUAAGAAUUAAAAUCAAGAAUUAAUAAAUGGGGUGGACUCAAAUCAAAAAGUUUCUUCCCAGCAAAAGAAACAAUCUGUGAGGUGAAGAGAGAGCCUACAUCUUGGGAGCAAAUCUUUACCCCUCACAUAUCAAAUAGAGAACUAAUCUAUAGGAUAUAUAAAAAUCUCAAAAAGCUAAACACCAAAAAAUCAAAUAAUCCAAUUAAUAUAUGGGUCAAGGACCUGAAGAGACACUUUUCAGAAGAUGAUGUACAGUCAAUCAACAAAUACAUGAAAAAAUGUUCAUCAUCACUAGCAAUUAGAGAAAUACAAAUCAAAACUAAGAUUUCAUCUCACUCCACUUAGAAUGGCAUCUAUUAUGAAGACAAACAAUAAUAAGUGUUGGCAAGGAUGUGGGGAAAAAGGCACACUCAUACAUGCUGGUGGGACUGCAAAUUGGGGCAGUCAAUAUGGAAAGCAGUAUGGAGAUUUCUUGGAAAAUUGGGAAUGGAACCACCAUUUGACCUAGCUAUCCCUGUCCUUGGUCUAUACCCAACUUAAAAACAGCAUACUACAGGGACACA